AUUCAGCUGACGAGUACUAAAUAGGACGAAACACUCGUUUUGGAU
rfam:Schistosoma margrebowiei strain Zambia genome assembly, scaffold: SMRZ_scaffold0001420